AUUUAAAUAGUUUAAUAAAAAUAUUGAUUUGUGGUGUCAAAGAUAUGAACUUUAUUUCAUUUUAAAUC
rnacentral:tRNA from 1 species